rnacentral:misc_RNA from 1 species
UCUCCGUAGGUGAACCUGCGGAGGGAUCAUUACAGAGUUCAUGCCCUACCGGGUAGAUCUCCCACCCUAUGUUAUUAUUGCUUUGUUGCUUUGGCGGGCCGUUAGGCUCCGGCCCGACUACCGGCCCCGGCUGGUAAGCGCCCGCCAGAGGACCCAAAACCCUGAAUAUUAGUGUCGUCUGAGUACUAUAUAAUAGUUAAAACUUUCAACAACGGAUCUCUUGGUUCUGGCAUCGAUGAAGUACGCAGC